rnacentral:misc_RNA from 1 species
UCCGUCUUGACGACGGCAGUCUCUCUGGAGUGCCCAACUGAAUGAUGGCAACUAAGGGCAAGGGUUGCGCUCGUUGCGGGACUUAACCCAACAUCUCACGACACGAGCUGACGACAGCCAUGCAGCACCUGUCUUAUCGUUCCCGAAGGCACUCCCGCAUCUCUGCAGGAUUCGACAGAUGUCAAGGCCAGGUAAGGUUCUUCGCGUUGCAUCGAAUUAAACCACAUGCUCCACCGCUUGUGCGGGUCCCCGUCAAUUCAUUUGAGUUUCAACCUUGCGGCCGUACUCCCCAGGCGGAGAACUUAACGCGUUAGCUACGACACCGAAAGGCUAACCCUCCCGACAUCCAGUUCUCAUAGUUUAUGGCGUGGACUAC